rnacentral:rRNA from 1 species
AAUAUUGGACAAUGGGCGGAAGCCUGAUCCAGCAACGCCGCGUGAGGGAUGACGGCCUUCGGGUUGUAAACCUCUUUCAGCACCGACGAAGCGUGAGUGACGGUAGGUGCAGAAGAAGGACCGGCCAACUACGUGCCAGCAGCCGCGGUAAUACGUAGGGGUCUAGCGUUGUCCGGAAUUAUUGGGCGUAAAGAGCUCGUAGGCGGUUCGGCAAGUCGGAUGUGAAAUCUCCACGCUUAACGUGGAGGGGCCAUUCGAAACUGCCGUGACUCGAGUCCGGUAGGGGAGUGCGGAAUUCCCGGUGUAGCGGUGAAAUGCGCAGAUAUCGGGAGGAACACCAGUGGCGAAGGCGGCACUCUGGGCCGGAACUGACGCUGAGGAGCGAAAGCGUGGGGAGCGAA